rnacentral:SRP_RNA from 1 species
AGCGGGUCUCCUUGCAUGAUGAUUCGGAGCAACGGGUCAGGGGCGGAAGCCAGCAGCCCACUCGGGAAAGUCAGUGCCAAGGGUCUGGCUCGCUACC